rnacentral:rRNA from 1 species
AUUGAACGCUGGCGGCAUGCUUUACACAUGCAAGUCGAACGGUAACAGGCCGCAAGGUGCUGACGAGUGGCGAACGGGUGAGUAAUGCAUCGGAACGUGCCCAGUCGUGGGGGAUAACGCAGCGAAAGCUGUGCUAAUACCGCAUACGAUCUAUGGAUGAAAGCGGGGGACCGUAAGGCCUCGCGCGAUUGGAGCGGCCGAUGUCAGAUUAGGUAGUUGGUGGGGUAAAGGCCUACCAAGCCGACGAUCUGUAGCUGGUCUGAGAGGACGACCAGCCACACUGGGACUGGGACACGGCCCAGACUCCUACGGGAGGCAGCAGUGGGGAAUUUUGGACAAUGGGCGCAAGCCUGAUCCAGCAAUGCCGCGUGCAGGAAGAAGGCCUUCGGGUCGUAAACUGCUUUUGUACGGAACGAAACGGUCUGGGUUAAUACCCUGGGCUAAUGACGGUACCGUAAGAAUAAGCACCGGCUAACUACGUGCCAGCCGCCGCAGUAAUAC